rnacentral:lncRNA from 1 species
UUCUCAAUACUUUUCUUUCUUUCCUUCUUUCUUUCUUUCUUUAUUUCUUUCUUUCUUUCUUUUUUCUUAAUCUCUUCUCUGAACCACCUCUGAGCACCACACCAUAAAAAUUAGUUUUAAAUCCUUCCAUAGGCCUUCCAGAAAUUUGCUACGCAAAAACCAAGGCAAGGAGAACCCAAGCCGAUCAGCCUAGAGGGGACUAGGCCGAUUGGCCUGGACUCUCUUUUCCUCCACUCUAGCUCAACUUUCUGGUGGAACUUCCUUUUCUUGUAUCUCUCCUUAUUUUUCGUAAAGCUCGACCAGAAAUAGAACAGAUCUUCGAAUAUUGAGUCGUGUUCAAGGAAUAGAUAAUAAAAUUGAGAAAUA